UCUCCUCUCCGCACAGAAAAGAAGAUCUCUGAGAUUCGCGGCCGAGAAGAUGACGACGACGACUCAAGACGUGGAGAUGAAAGACAACAACCAAACCCCAGCUCAAUCCAUCGUCUCCGCCACCCACCUCAACUCUCCAGCAUCUGAAGGAGAUCGCUGCUCUGAUCGAUACCGGCUCCUACACCAAAGAAGUCCGCCGCGUCGCUCGCGCCGUGCGCCUCACCGUCGGGAUACGGCAGAAGCUCACCGCUUCCGUCGUCGCUUCGUUCCUUGACUUCGCUUUGGGCUCUGGAUCUGAGGCUCACGCUCGUCUCUCUUCCUUCGUUCCCAAGAGUGAUGAACAUGACAUGGAGGUUGAUACUGCUUCCUCCACUUCCUUGGCUGCAUCCAAGCACGUGCCUGUGGAGCUUGAGAUCUACUGCUACUUCUUGUUUUUUUCUUUUUCUGAUUGAUCAGAAGAAGUACAACGAGGCCAAAGCUUGCUCAUCAGCUAGCAUUGCUCGUCUCAAGAGCUUGAACAAGAGAACCAUUGAUGUGAUAGCUUCGAGAUUGUAUUUUUACUACUUUUGAGUUAUGAGAUGACUGGUGAUCUUGCUGAGAUUCGUGGUACUCUUUUGUCUUU